rnacentral:rRNA from 1 species
GACGAACGCUGGCGGCGUGCUUAACACAUGCAAGUCGAACGGGUCUGCCCUGUUUUUUGCGGGGUGGGUCAGUGGCGAACGGGUGAGUAACACGUGAGUAACCUGCCCCUCACUUCUGGAUAACCGCUUGAAAGGGUGGCUAAUACGGGGUGUUCUGGCUGUGCCGCAUGGUGUGGCUGGGAAAGAUUCACUUUUGUGGUGUUUUGGUGGGGGAUGGGCUCGCGGCCUAUCAGCUUGUUGGUGGGGUGAUGGCCUGCCAAGGCUUUGACGGGUAGCCGGCCUGGGAGGGUGGGCGGUCACACUGGGACUGAGGUACGGCCCGGACUCCUGCGGGAGGCAGCAGUGGGGGGUAUUGCACAAUGGGCGGAAGCCUGAUGCAGCGACGUCGCGUGAGGGAUGGAGGCCUUCGGGUUGUGAACCUCUUUCGCCGGUGAAGAAGGUCCUGCUCUCUGUGGUGGGGUUGACGGUAGCCGGGUUAUGAAGCGCCGGCUAACUACGUG